rnacentral:rRNA from 1 species
ACCAGACUCCUACGGGAGGCAGCAGUGGGGGAUAUUGCACAAUGGGGGAAACCCUGAUGCAGCGACGCCGCGUGGGUGAAGAAGCGCCUCGGCGCGUAAAGCCCUGUCAGCAGGGAAGAAAAUGACGGUACCUGAAGAAGAAGCCCCGGCUAACUACGUGCCAGCAGCCGCGGUAAUACGUAGGGGGCAAGCGUUAUCCGGAUUUACUGGGUGUAAAGGGAGCGUAGACGGCGGCGCAAGCCAGAUGUGAAAGCCCGGGGCUCAACUCCGGGACUGCAUUUGGAACUGUGUGGCUGGAGUGUCGGAGAGGCAGGCGGAAUUCCUAGUGUAGCGGUGAAAUGCGUAGAUAUUAGGAGGAACACCAGUGGCGAAGGCGGCUUACUGGACGGCAACUGACGCUGAGGCUCGAAAGCGUGGGGAGCAAACAGGAUUAGAUACCCGCGUAAG